CGUGGCAGCUGAGACUGGAUGGCCGCCCCAAGCCUGUCAGCUCUGGCGGCUCUGAGCUCAGUCGCCGAAGGAACUUGCCGUAGCGUGGCAGCAUUGAGUUCCUGAUUAAAUAUACCUACUCGAAAGAACAUUAAUAGAAACUGUUCACUCGGCGGGAAAUUGACGCAGCAUUGGUCGAAAAAUACGCUAUUACUGUACCCACAACAAACCAGACGCAAAAUACCAAAUGUCUUCUUUCUGGAUUGAUAAUACUUUUUAAUCCAAGUUGAACAUAAAAGUUUUACUUGCAUUAAACUGCGAUUAACGUAAUUUAGGUCUCAUUUUUCCUGGAGAGCAAAGGUACACCACCAACGAGAGAUUUUAUGAGCUGGAAGAUACAAAGAAGCUGCACGAAUUUUUGUGUUUCUAUUUAAGUAUAUAAAUAAGUAUAUUUAAGUAUUAUUUACUCAUUACUUGUACUUCCUCACGCGUGCUCCGUGUUGUAGUUAUUGUAUCAGAAUGUUUUUGUCUCUAUUAUGGAAGAGUAUCAUAUUUCAAAUGAUUUUUCGUUUAAUCCUUAUAAUUUUAAUUUAUUUUGGUUAUGACACUCAAACUAUUUUCAACUUCAUUGAGCGGUACCUCAUUUUUCGAUAUUUUACUCGUCGUCGUUAAUUAAUACGUACUUAAUCAAUAUCAGUGGUAAUUAAGUACGAGCAGUUCAUAUACUUGUAGUACUUAAUAUGUGUAAGAUACUGUUAGUGGAUAUUUUUUGGCCUUGAAAUGUAACCACAAACAUGGCUUUUUGUAGAUGAUUCUUAUUUAUAAAACUUUCAAUUAGUAUAAAUAAAUAAAAACAUAGACUCGAAUUGAGAACUUUUUUUAAGUCAGUUAAAAACUGACUGACUGCGUCUCGGGCCACGCGUACUUUAUGGUUUGUAUAAGCAUUUUUAACCACAAUAAUAAUAAUAAUAAUAUUGUACAGUUCAAGACUUCCUCCGGUCAUGUAUGGGGCAAUGGAGCACGAUCCUUUGUCUCCAUGGCGAGCGGUUGGCGGCUGCCGAUGACCGGAUUAGGAUACGCCGGGGUAUCUUCCAGGGUGACUGUCUGAGUCCACUAUGGUUUUGCAUGGCCUUGAAUCCUCUCAGUACAUUACUAGAGGGUUCGGGGACAGGCUUUCAGUUUCGGAGAGGAGGGAUAAAAGUGCCUCACCUUCUCUACAUGGACGACCUCAAACUGCUAGCGCCCAAUGCUACCCGACUGCAGGAAUUACUGAAUCUCACCACGGGA
rnacentral:lncRNA from 1 species